rnacentral:rRNA from 1 species
ACUACGGGAGGCAGCAGUGAGGAAUAUUGGACAAUGGGCGCGAGCCUGAACCAGCCAAGUAGCGUGAAGGAUGACUGCCCUACGGGUUGUAAACUUCUUUUAUAAAGGAAUAAAGUGAGGCACGUGUGCCUUUUUGUAUGUACUUUAUGAAUAAGGCUCGGCUAACUCCGUGCCAGCAGCCGCGGUAAUACGGGGGAGCCGGGCGUUAUCCGGUUUUACUGGGUGUAAAGGGUGCGUAGGCGGAGCGUUAAGUCAGUGGUCAAAUUGAGGGGUUCAACCCCUUCCCGCCAUUGAAACUGGGGCGCUGGAGUGGAAGAGAGGUAGGCGGAAUGCGUGGUGUAGCGGUGAAAUGCAUAGAUAUCACGCAGAACCCCGAUUGCGAAGGCAGCAUGCCGGCUUCCGACUGACGCUGAGGCACGAAAGCGUGGGGAGCGAACAGGAUUAGAUACCCCUGUAGUC